AUUCCAGCUCCAAUAGCGUAUACUAAAGUUGUUGCAGUUAAAAAGCUCGUAGUUGAAUUUCUGGGUGUGAUAGGCGGUCCGUGUGCAUAACAUGUGUACCUCCCUCUCAUGCCCAUCCUCGAAGUGAAUAUGCAUUGCCUUAACUGUGUCGUGUAUAGGACCUUCGUCAUUUACUGUGAGCAAAAUAGAGUGUUCAAAGCAGGCUUAUGCCGUUGAAUAUAUUAGCAUGGAAUAAUAAGAUAUAACUUCUGUCUAUUUGUUGGUUUGCAUUCGGAAGUAAUGAUUAAUAGGGAUAGUUGGGGGUUUUCGUAUUCAAUUGUCAGAGGUGAAAUUCUUGGAUUUAUGGAAGACGAACUACUGCGAAAGCAUCAACCAAGGAUGUUUUCAUUA
rnacentral:rRNA from 1 species